AAACCCGAGCUCCGGACCUUAGCAGUUCCUUACCUCGCUCAGCUCGGCUGAGGAGUCGUUGCCAUAUUUCACCGCAACUCCAGAAUUCAUGCCUGCACUUUUCAGAGCCGGGCUCGUCCCCAGACCUCGGAGCGUAGGAGCCGGGCUUAGGCUGGAUAGCCUGGGCUUGCUCCCCGCCGGCACAUUUCAGUCUAGACAGCCAUUUUCACCCAGGACAGCAGCGAGGCCAGAAAGGAUGGAGAAGCUCGUUACCGUAAGUCAGGCUGGAAUCUCACCAGCGAGCCAUAGCUGCAGGAGACUGGGCAGAGGGUUGCGCUCGCAGCAACUGCAGCGGCCGAGCCGGCGCCGGGACCCGCCCGCGCGCCCACCGCGGAGUCCCGGAGUGAUGCCACCCUCCGCGCCGCCUCGCCCCUCCUAUGGUACCACGCAGAUCCCCAUUACCCGGCAGGCGGGCAGUUCACGCCGGCGCCCAGCAGAGCUAGGGAACCCUCCGGGAGAAGCCCGGGCACCAGUGCGAGGACGAUAUGUGCCUCCGGUUCCCGGGAGGAAAGAGCUGGAGAGAGCCGGAGCCGAGCAGCACUUCACGCCGAAGUUUCCCCCUUUGAAUCGUCUGGAGUUAUUUCUUUAAAAUACAUCAGAUUCUUCUCCAUGGAGGGAAAACUGAUCGGUGCAAAUUAGGGAUUUGGAAACCCCGCAGGAAGAAUUUUUUAAAAGCUCUCUCUCUCUCUGCUUCUUGUCCAUCAUGACAUGUUCAGUCUCCUCUUCCUGCACAGGGUUCUGCUGCCAUGAUCUUCUGCCUUUCCAUGGGUUCAGAACCAGCAGAGCCCAUGAUUAUGGAUGGACUGGAAUCUCUGAAACAGGUCGUUUGGGCUGUUCUAAGUCUCUCGUGUUUCAACAUGAAUUUUGGAAUCAAGCUGCUGGUAGGCAAAGAGGCCAGGAUUUGGAGGCAUUUACCGCUUAAUAUUAAGCCUGCUGACCCGCAUAUGGGGGCUGUCUUUUCAUUUACUUGGGUCUUUGCUUCACUUGGGGUUUUAAACAGUUUUUUAUGUCUCUCAUUAAAUUUAUUACUACGUAUUUUAUUUCUCCUCCUCCUCUUCCUCUUCCUCCUCUUCCUUCUUCUUCCCCAGCCCCUCUCUUAGUUUUGUUGUUGUUGUUGUUGUUUUUUGUUUGUUUGUUUGUUUUUUAGACAGGAUUUUUCUGUGUAGCACUUGCUGUCCUAAACUCUCUCUGGCCUCAUCCUCAGAGAUCUGCCUGCCUCUGUUGCUUGAGGGUUGGAAUUAAAGGGGUGCACCACCACCACCACCUGGCUUUUACUUUUUUUAAAAAUGAUCUCAUGUAAAUAGGCUUUAUUUAUUUAAUUUUCAGAUAAUUCAUUGCCAACAUAUAAAAAUUAACUAAUUUAUGUUAUACUGAUUUUAUAUCCUGAAAUCUUCUCUAACUUUUUUUAUUUCUUAAUUGUCUGCAUGCAAGAUCUUCUGCAAAGAAAGUUAUGAGGAAUGAAGCUCUUUAAAAACACUGCCAGACUCGUCAUAACCCUCCUAUAUGCAAGGCUACCAUGGUAGAGUCCUCUCAAAAGCUCAUGUUGAAACUUAACCCCCUAUGCAACAGCAUUAAGAAGUAUGGCUUUAGUGGAGCUCUGAAGUCACAAAUAAGAUUGCCGCCUAUAUAAGAAGGCUUGGAAUUAAAGAGAAACUCUUUCUCCUGUCUGCUUUUCCAUUGUGUGGAUACAGCAUUUCUCCUCUUCAGAAGAUGUGGUAACAAGGUGGUCCUCGAUACACACCAAUCCUACAGGCAACUUGAUCUUGCACUUCCAAGUCUCAAGAACUCUGAGAAGCAAAUUUCUGUUCCUUAUAAGUCUCCCCGAUCUGUGGCAUUCUGUGACAGCAGUGUAUCUAAUGAUAGCACCUUUGGCUGGAGGGAGAGUUUGCAGAGACAUUUUGCAUGUUAGAUUUUUCCAUCACUGGGACAGAUACCAGAGAAACAAUUUAAAGGAGGAAAGAUUUAUUUUAGCUCAUGGUUUCCAUGGUUUAGUUCAAGCAUAAUGGCUCUGUGUAUCUGGGCUAUGGUUAGGCAGAAUACCAUGGCAACAGAGAGCAUGACAGGGACUGCUCAUAGCAUUAUAACCAAGAGGCCAAGAGAGGUAAGGAAAGAGUCUCUGGGCCAAGUAGUCUCUUCAAAGGCAUGUCCCCAGUGAUGAAUCUUCUCCAACAAGGACACACACACACACACACACACUCAUGUAGCUGCCAGUCAGUGGAUCAUUCUAGACCCCUCACAAAUUACCCAUUUGUGAAUGACUGGACCUACAAUAUAGAGACUAAAGCUUCAACAAACAAGCAUGGGGAGUUGUGCUUAAUAACUAAACCAUAAUAAACAUUUGAAA
rnacentral:lncRNA from 1 species